UACGUAGGGGGCAAGCGUUGUCCGGAUUUAUUGGGCGUAAAGAGCGUGUAGGCGGCCACACAGGUCAGCUGUGAAAACUCGAGGCUCAACCUCGAGACGUCGGUUGAAACCGUAUGGCUAGAGUCCGGAAGAGGAGAGUGGAAUUCCCGGUGUAGCGGUGAAAUGCGCAGAUAUCGGGAAGAACACCCGUGGCGAAGGCGGCUCUCUGGGACGGUACUGACGCUGGGACGCGAA
rnacentral:rRNA from 1 species